ensembl:lncRNA
AGACAGACAGACAGACAGACAGACAGACAGACAGACAGACAGACAGACAGACAGACAGGCUUGCCAUGUCAAUCAUACAGCAGUCUUCACAGGGCUGUGUACUAUGCCUCUGUACAGACACGGUUGGGCUAAAUUCAAGUUCAUCUCUAUCUCUUCAUGUGACUCAUUGGAAACAUGUUCUCGUCAACUAGUCACAGUUGGAAUUUCAACAGUCCCUGAAUUGACUCGUACAUUGAUGUGUGUUCUUAUCCCUUGUUCCAGUCUAAGAGAGCUACUCUAUCUGUGUAAGACUGGGUUUAUGUAUUGUAGAUGUACUAUAGAUAAGAGCUGUGCUUGGAAAGACAAAAAGACCAGAUCAUGUUGAUCAAUGUUGGACAACCACAGCCAGGUGGGUUAUGGGAGGAUUAUUUGUCCUAGUUGACCACCGGCCUGCAGGCGGUCCCUGCAAUGGACUGGGCACGGGGUGUAAGCUAUCAAAGGAAAACAAACAGACACACACUCAUGCACAUAUGCACACACAUACGUAUGUGCACACACACACACACACACACACACACACACUGAAAGAGACAGAAAAACGGACAAUCUCACUUACAGAAACACAAUCUAUGGUACACAGAGGAUACACAGACUUAGGCACACACGCAAGCUAACAAGCGCUCACACACACACUCAACAAAGAUCUCAAGGCUUGUGAACAGCUGGUGCUGAAACAAGAAACAAGGCAAGCGAGGUUUAUUAACCCAGAGUCCUGCUGUCAGGACCUCCAGACCUCAGCCCCAACAGCUGACACAUGCAUGUACGCAAAUCCAUGUAUAGUGUGUGUGUAUAUGUUUUGGGAGUGUGUAUGUGUUUUGAGUGUGUGUGUAUGUGUAUAUGUUCUGAGAAUGUGUAUGUGUUUUGAGUGUGUGUGUGUGUAUAUGUUCUGAGAGUGUGUAUGUGUUUUGAGUGUGUGUGUGUGUAUAUGUUUUGAGAGUGUGUAUGUGUUUUGAGUGUGUGUGUGUGUGUGCGUGUGCGUGGGUUUGCGCGUGUGCGUGUGUGUGUGUCUGUGUGUGUGUGUGUGCGUGUCUGUGUGUGUGUGUGUGUGCGUGCGUGCGCGUGUCUGUCGUGUCGUGUCUGUGUGUGUGUGUGUGUGUGUGUGUGUGUGUGUGUGUGUGUGUGUGUGUGUGUGUGUGCGUGCGUGCGUGUGCGUGCGUAUCUGUGUGUGUAAUGUAUAGGGCCAUAUAAGAGGCAUGGUAUGAGGGAUGAGUCCUGCUAAGUGCCUACUCCCAAUAAGACUAGUUAUUUAUUUUAAAAAGCCUUGAUAAAUGCUCCAUAUUUCAGUGAUCACCCUCAGGAGGCUCCCACGAGUAACAGAUACAAAUUGUCAUGGUGACAGGCCGAAGGAGAGGAAAGGGGAAUAUGGGAUAGGCUUUUCCUCCAUGGAAAUGCUUCCUGCCAGCAAUGACAAACGUACUCAUUCAUUUAUUCACUAACUCUUGUGCUCUCUAAUUCUCUUGUUCUUUCGUUGUGUCUUUCUCUCAGUUUCUCUCUCUCCUUUAGAGAGAGUGAGUCAUCUGCAGGUGGGUGAAUCACUAUGGGGUGGUCCUCUUAAAAUCAAAUAAAAAUCAGUUGAGGGUUUACAGAGAGGUAAUUGAUAAUCAGGUGAGGGUUUACAGAGAGGUAAUUGAUAAUCAGGUGAGGGUUUACAGAGAGGUAAUUGAUAAUCAGGUGAGGGUUUACAGAGGUAAUUGAUAAUCAGGUGAGGGUUUACAGAGAGGUAAUUGAUAAUCAGGUGAGGGUUUACAGAGAGGUAAUUGAUAAUCAGGUGAGGGUUUACAGAGAGGUAAUUGAUAAUCAGGUGAGCUGAACUAAGGGUUUACAGAGAGGUAAUUGAUAAUCAGGUGAGGGUUUACAGAGAGG